rnacentral:lncRNA from 1 species
GUCAACGGUGCACGUUGCAUUCACAAGAACUUAAUUAAUAGUUGUGUGCUUUUGAUUAGUUUGGGAACAAACUUUUACUUAUUUUUUCUUAUUUCAUCUAAGUGUAACUUAAGGAAAAACUUAUUUGAAAGGGGUGGAGGGCCGUUGCCUCCUUCACCAAAUAUUAGGGGGUGCCACAUCAUAGAUGUAUAGCGAAUAUUUAAAAAUAUGGGUGAUGGGGAUGGUAUAAACAUUGGAUUUGUUUAUCAGUUACAAUUAUUCUAAAGACAAGAUGGAUUGGAGGGUGCAAUUAUUUAUUUUUCAUUAUAUGGUGGUCAAAGAUACAAGUAAACAUGAAAGGUGGCCUAUGAUGUUAACCGGCUAUUUUGAACCCUUUUUUUAUACAUUUUUUUUUCUUUGUUUACAUAAAAGUUAUUCUUAACAAAUAAUUAUGUGACACCCUGAAUUGAAAAUGUGGUGACCAAAAGAAUUUGCAUUCGCAUUUAGCAUUUAAUUAUAUAUAGAGCAU